rnacentral:rRNA from 1 species
UACAGAGGGUGCGAGCGUUGUUCGGAAUUAUUGGGCGUAAAGCGCGUGUAGGCGGUCUGUUAUGUCGGGUGUGAAAGCCCUCAGCUUAACUGAGGAAGUGCGCCCGAAACUGGCAGACUUGAGUGCCGGAGAGGAUAGCGGAACACCCGGUGUAGAGGUGAAAUUCGUAGAUAUCGGGUAGAACACCAGUGGCGAAGGCGGCUAUC